CAUUAAGUGACUGAAAUGAAAGUUAUGGUCUCUUAAACCAAAGUAUAGUAAAUCAAUUACUCUUAAUGG
rnacentral:tRNA from 1 species